GACGAACGCUGGCGGCGUGCUUAACACAUGCAAGUCGAACGGAAAGGCCCUGCUUUUGUGGGGUGCUCGAGUGGCGAACGGGUGAGUAACACGUGAGUAACCUGCCCUUGACUUUGGGAUAACUUCAGGAAACUGGGGCUAAUACCGGAUAGGAGCUCCUGCUGCAUGGUGGGGGUUGGAAAGUUUCGGCGGUUGGGGAUGUACUCGCGGCUUAUCAGCUUGUUGGUUGGGUAGUUGCUUACCAAGGCUUUGACGGGUAGCCGGCCUGUGAGGGUGACCGGCCACAUUGGGACUGAGAUACGGCCCAGACUCCUACGGGAGGCAGCAGUGGGGAAUAUUGCACAAUGGGCGGAAGCCUGAUGCAGCAACGCCGCGUGCGGGAUGACGGCCUUCGGGUUGUAAACCGCCUUCGCCUGUGACGAAGCGUGAGUGACGGUAAUGGGUAAAGAAGCACCGGCUAACUACGUG
rnacentral:rRNA from 1 species